rnacentral:rRNA from 1 species
GAUGAACGCUGGCGGCGUGCCUAAUACAUGCAAGUCGAGCGAACAGACGAGGAGCUUGCUCUUCUGACGUUAGCGGCGGACGGGUGAGUAACACGUGGAUAACCUACCUAUAAGACUGGGAUAACUUCGGGAAACCGGAGCUAAUACCGGAUAAUAUAUUGAACCGCAUGGUUCAAUAGUGAAAGACGGUUUUGCUGUCACUUAUAGAUGGAUCCGCGCCGCAUUAGCUAGUUGGUAAGGUAACGGCUUACCAAGGCAACGAUGCGUAGCCGACCUGAGAGGGUGAUCGGCCACACUGGAACUGAGACACGGUCCAGACUCCUAAGGGAGGCAGCAGUAGGGAAUCGGCCGCAAUGGGCGAAAGCUUGACGGAGCAACGCCGCGUGAGUGAUGAAGGUCUUCGGAUCGUAAAACUCUGUUAUUAGGGAAGAACAAAUGUGUAAGUAACUAUGCACGUCUUGACGGUACCUAAUCAGAAAGCCACGGCUAACUACGUG